rnacentral:tRNA from 2 species
ACGGGAGUAGCUCAGUUGGUAGAGCAUCGGUCUCCAAAACCGAGUGCCGGGAGUUCGAGUCUCUCCUCCCGUG